rnacentral:lncRNA from 10 species
GUGGGCAGCUAUCUGAGUAGCUCUUGUUUUUACCGUAGAAUUGUGAUUUGCAGAUUCUGAUGAAAAGGACUAUUUAUGGCAUGCCAGAGCUUAUAAAGCUUAUGGCUGUUAAGUCUGUUUAAGCCUGAAACUGAGAUUGAGGCAUUUUCUUGGGGGAAGAAGAAAACAAAACUGAGUACCCAUCCCUCUGUUUGGAAGUGUGUAAGUUGAGCUCUUGUGUUAUGAAACAGUGGGAACUGAACUGAAAUUGGCUUCCCUGGGAAAAACAAUAAAUAGGAGGCUGCUGGAGCUCACUACAUCUGCAGGGAGGAUAAGGAUGAGAUUUAAGAAGAAAGAAAGAAAAGAAAGAAAAAGAAAGAAUGGAAAGAAAAGAAAAAGAAAGAAAGAAAAAGAAAAGAAAAAGAAAGAAAGAAGAAAGAGAAAAAGAAAAAGAGAAAGCCCAACAUUUUCAUGGAACUGUGUCUGGGCUCAGUUUCCCUCGCCUUGCUUCAUUCAGUCCAUCUUUCAUCUCUUAAAUCCCAGCAUUGGGUGGAGACUGAGUGGCAGAGAAGGAGACUCAUACCUCUGUUCCCUUAGCCUGGUCGUCUGCCUGGAGGAGCUGGACAUUUCCAACUUCAUCUGAAGAUCGCCAUUUUGGAUGUUGGAUACUUCUCCUUUCUUUUUUUUGGUUUUUUUUUUUUUUUUUUUGAGACGGAGUCUCUCUCUGUCACCAGGCUGGAGUGUGCAACCUCCGCCUCCCAGGUUCAAG